CAAUAGCGUAUAUUAAAGCUGUUGCGGUUAAAAAGCUCGUAGUUGGAUUUCUGUCAAGGACAACUGGUCCGCCCCUCGGGUGAGCACAUAGUUUGGUCUUGGCAUCUUGUUGGAAACUGUUGCUGCACUUGGUUGUGUGGCGCAGUGUCCAGCACUUUCACUUUGAGGAAAUUGGAGUGUUUCAAGCAGGCACAUGCCUUUGGACACAGUAGCAUGGAAUAAUUAGAUUGGGCUUUUGCUCCAACUUGUCGGUUUCUGGAGCUGAGGUGAGAAUUAAUGGGGAUUGUUGGGGGCAUCCGAAUUUAGCCGUCAGAGGUGAAGUUCUUGGAUCUGCUAAAGACGGACAACUGCGAAAGCGUUUGCCCAGGAUGUUUUCAUUGA
rnacentral:rRNA from 1 species